GCUGCGGUGGAUUUGCUCUCUGUCGACCCUGUCCCUAGUGGCUGCCCUGGCAUAUACAGUGGGUGACGCGUCCGCCGCCUCUUCAGUUGCCGCUGCCGUCACCAGGCCCUCCACAGGCCCCUGUGGGCUGGGUAUUGUUCGCGCGUCAGGAAGCCUACAAAGUAGGAUGCAGUGACGCAGCACGGGGCUUGCUCCGGGCUCACACACUGGCCUGUUGAAGGCGACGGUGUGAAAACAUAUGUACCGAGAGAGACUUUUAUUUGCUACUGAAUGACUGAUAGUGACUCAAAAACAUCCAUCUGUCUAUGUACUUGGGAAAACCCACUCACAUAUUCUGGUUUAGAUGUUUACACUGGUUUAUAUACAAAUGCAGGUUCUGAAAGAAAAAUUUGCAGCCUCUCCAAUGAAGCUAGUUUAGAAAUUGGAAAAGAACAGGUAGGGGGGUAAUGUCGUGAGAAAAAAAAUUACCAGUGCUGGGACAAGAGUACUGACCACACCCAGCCUGGGCCUUGGUCUCCUCAUCUGAGCGUAGAGACUGAAGAGUUGGCAACAUCCCCUUCAGCCUUUUGAUGACUGGGGACACUGUUUCUGUUGAGCCUGGCUUUCAGAGUCGGGCAGAAAAAGAGCUUAAAUGGAAAGGGAUCAUCUCCAGAUUAGAAAUGUCUAUUCAAGUCACCCGACCUUUUCCCCCAUUCCUCUCUAUUUGGCAUGAGGUGCUUGAGGUGUCAGCAAAUGACAGAGAAAGGCUGGCGGGAUUCACCCAGCAAAGGUUCUGGCCCUGCACUGCCCAGAAGCCCUGAAAUCACGGAAUCAGAGCCAGGUGGAGGCAACACAACUUUAUACCCCUGGGAGAUAAUCAGGGUCUGGUGCACCGGCUGCUUUCCUGGGAUAGCUGGAGCUUCCUGGCCAGCAUGAGCUCCGCUUGCUACUUGGCGCACCCAUCUUCAUCAUCCUCUACAAUGGGCUUCAGGAGAUGCUUAUUCACUACACCGACAUCAACAUGUUCUGUCUUUUCUCUGGACACUGUUUGCCGACCUUCAUCACUGGGCUGGCCCUGACGCUGUUCAUUGAGAAACCAUGUCAGGAACUGAAGCGGUGCCUGCUGGGAUCAGCGCCUGCAGGGCCGUGAGCUUCCUGUAAAACCCAAAAGAGUGGAUGGCCCUUUGUGGGUGCUGAUGAGUAAAGGCAAGUGUGGUCUUGUUUAUGUAACGAAGGCUUGUGUUCCCAAAAAGGAGUGUGAAUCUGAUUUUUGUGAAUGUUUAAGGUAUACAAGUUCUUUAAUAUAUAAAACAGUUCCGAGUGUUUACUAUAUAAAAGAGCUCUGCGUUAAUCUGUUUAGUAGCACAAUAAUUG